GCAACCAUUACGACUAAAAUAUUCUUGCUACUGUCUCCAAUUUGGCAACUGCUACAGAUCCUCAUCAACUGGUUCUUGUUUCUAUAUAUUUACACACACAAAAAAAAGAUGAAUAUACCUUAACAAUUCAAGUUCUAUCUAUUGCAUUCAUUUCAAUACUGGAUGGAUAUAAAAUCUUUCUUUUAAAAGACAGAUGUGCUGGUAUGCAGUGUUCGAUCACUUCUCACUUUCUACAUCGACACGACUGGAUUCCAAGACAUAAUCUCUCAUGAGCCUCGUGUUAGAAUCACCGACCAUCUUAUUAGCUAAUCGCUUCAAGUUGUCCCAUUCAAAAUCAGUUUUACAAUAUGCAGAUCGAACCUCUAAGAUGCGUAGAGCUAAACUCUGAUGCCUGGAAGAUUCACGCAUCAUACUGGCGCAAAACUUGUCUCCAUCCUUCAAGGAAUGACUCUUCAAAAAUUCCAUCAACUCUUGGUAUGCCUCACGGUUAUAGCUCUGAAGCUGUGCUGAAACAAUCAUAACAGCAAUAUAAGUGAAGAAAUUAUGCAGAUUGUUUGCCGCCUGGGCUUCUGGUGAUGCAUGACCAUAUCCAGGGACAUACAUCUUCUGGCAGUGCAAUCGAGUUGACUGA
rnacentral:misc_RNA from 1 species